rnacentral:lncRNA from 1 species
CCACCCCCUGGGCAGUGGCAGUAGCGGUAGGCCACAGCGCCAAGCCAAGGAGAGAGGGCGCUAUUCCAGAUGCGCCCACCCACCAUGGGCUCCCUUGUACCUGGCAGGAGCCACCUCAAGGGCCAGUGCCCAGGUUGGAUAUGCGCAGAAUACAGCCAUGUCUGGCUGUCAGUGGCUGGCUCAACCGGGUGGCAGCCUUGGGAGCCCUUGCCCCCAGGCUCAGUAGCUCCACACCAGCCAUCCCCAAAGUGCCCUGCCCAUCAGUGAAGGGGCAGGGCAGCUCAGUCCACUAGGGAGCAAGCCUCUGAGAUCACCUCACUUGUUUUGGGUAAGGUACCUGGUGAAAAUGUCUGCUCUGGGAAGACCCAGCGCAGUUAUCAGAGCCUGCCCGGCUCAGUCCAGCCCUGUGCAGGAGCUGUUGCCAGAGGCAUGGGCUCCUCUCUCAACAUCUCUACCAGACAGACUGUCCUUAGGAGUUUGAUGUAGCUAUGGAUUGGGAUGGGGGGGCGGGGGGCGGGGGGAGGGGUGGGGGUGUUGAUGACUAUAUCUUAAACUUCUGGAAGCUAGCGUGAUAUGUUAAUCCUGAGUAUAUGCUUUUGGCUGUGUAUUGACCCUGUGGAUUUGUCUCUCUAAGAAAAGAAGCUGAGCGCCUUACCCGGUGCAGUCCCGCACCUCUCUCCCUCUCUGGAACCAUCUGGAAGGGAAUUCACACUGUUUAGCAUCCUCCUUGACACUCAUGUAUUGCCGCUGCUACCACCACCACCACUGUCACCGCUGCUGCCACCGCUGCUGCCACUGCUGCCAUCACCACCCCCUCCUCCCCAGCCCUUCUGGGAGUGAAGACACGGAGUCCCUACAGUUAUCCCACCGUAGGGAACAAAGAAAGCCAAUGUUUCUUCUGUAUAGAUUGCUUCUCGUCCACUUCUCCAUAGCUGCUUGUUUCCCACACCCUCCCAGCCAGCGUUGGUCUCUCUUUCAUCACUGUGUGAGAGGCCUGUGUGAAAUCUCUCGUUCUUAUGUGAGUUUUAUAAGAUGUACACUGUGCAAAGCCCCUGCCUAUCCUUGGUGAUCCUAGCGCAAUAAAGCCUCCUGAGUGGCAAGGUCUCCCAGCAAGGGGGAGGGGUGUCCUUCUACAGAAGCCAGCCCCCCUUCCUUGACUCUCCUCCCACAGGACCAAGAUGCUUAAUGGGCCAGAGAUGCAGCCAGUGGGGAACCCUUUCCCCCACGACCACUGCCCUCAGAGUGUUGGCAUGGUCUUCCUCUUCUCCCAACUUCUUGAUCCUACACCUUCGCCACUCA